GGGAAUUUUCCGCAAUGGGCGAAAGCCUGACGGAGCAAUACCGCGUGAGGGAGGAAGGCUCUUGGGUUGUAAACCUCUUUUCUCAGGGAAGAACAGAAUGACGGUACCUGAGGAAUAAGCAUCGGCUAACUCCGUGCCAGCAGCCGCGGUAAUACGGAGGAUGCAAGCGUUAUCCGGAAUGAUUGGGCGUAAAGAGUCCGUAGGUGGCAUUGAAAGUCUGCUGUUAAAGAGUCUAGCUCAACUAGAUAAGAGCAGUGGAAACUACAAAGCUAGAGUUUGGUCGGGGCAGAAGGAAUUCCUGGUGUAGCGGUGAAAUGCGUAGAUAUCAGGAAGAACACCGGUGGCGAAGGCGUUCUGCUAGGCCGAGACUGACACUGAGGGACGAAAGCUAGGGGAGCGAAUGGGAUUAGAUACCCCAGUAGUC
rnacentral:rRNA from 1 species